AGUUUAUGGCACCAUCCAUCUGCUUCUGCUCCUUUGCUCAAUGCUGGAAAGGCACAAAAAGCUUCCCAAAGUAUUGAGCCUGAUAAGAAUAUCCUUCUCUUUGGCUCCCUGACUUCAUGGAAGGCAGAUCUUGUCACAAUCACUGACCACGAUCUGGAAGGAAACAGAUUCCCUGGGCAAUCUGAAGAUCCACCCACAUACCUCCUGGGGCAGCAGGAUUAAGCCCUGAAGAUUCUAAAACUACCUCCUAGGAGCAGCUCUUAAAACUUAGGACAAAAUAGAAAACUGGCACUGAGAGAUGCUGCAGGAGACAGAAGGUACAGGUUACUCAUGUAUGAAUACCAAGCAGCAUUGCCCAGCAUCCUUUGCCUCAGUGCCAACAUGGAAGCCUUCAGAGCUUCAGAGUGGAAGGUGAAGAGCAGUGACCAAGGAUAAUAGGAUGGUGAAGCAUGGGAAAAGCAGCCACCUGCAAAAUUUUGGAGGAAUUAGAUCCAGAAGUCCCUCAGUGCAGGGGUAAAGGCUAUAUGCUUCUCAGCUGUGGCCUGAACACCAAGGGGAGAUUCUGACCUCAUCUAGGAACAAAUCAGCUCUGGUAUGGAUGUAUGACUCUUGCUGUGGGGAGAGUCUUGAAGCUGUUGGCACAUGAGUUCCAAAGAAGCGCGUGAAGAUGUGGUGGAUAGCAGACCCCGCAAUCUGACCCAGCAACUGCACUUUAGACCAGACGUCAUCAUGAUACUCCUGUUGUGCUGCCCUGCCUGGUUUCUGAGGUCUAUUCAUCCACUCGAUCACUCCUUCUCUUUAGACGUCUCUACCCCCUCCCCAUAUUCUUUUACAAAUUAACCUUGGUUUAUGCUGUCAAUUUAAGGAACAAGAACAAAUAAAGUUCCU